UAUGACAACAUACAUAAUAAUUAUUGUUUACGCACACCUGUAGACAUAAUUUUGCAUGUGUAAUGCGCUCGCCGUUAAAAAUAAAAUCAAACACCCGUGAGCUGCAGAGCUCUAGAGUCACUAUAGAGUCGAAUUUCCUCCCAAUUGUAUUUCGCAAAACAGAAAUAUUCUUUGUGAAACAGUAAAUACCCAAGUACUGUAUAACAGUACGGAACAAUACAGUGUUUAC